rnacentral:rRNA from 1 species
AGAGUUUGAUCCUGGCUCAGGAUGAACGCUAGCUACAGGCUUAACACAUGCAAGUCGAGGGGAAACGACAUCGAAAGCUUGCUUUUGAUGGGCGUCGACCGGCGCACGGGUGAGUAACGCGUAUCCAACCUGCCCACCACUUGGGGAUAACCUUGCGAAAGUAAGACUAAUACCCAAUGACGUCUCUAGAAGACAUCUGAAGGAGAUUAAAGAUUUAUCGGUGAUGGAUGGGGAUGCGUCUGAUUAGCUUGUUGGCGGGGUAACGGCCCACCAAGGCGACGAUCAGUAGGGGUUCUGAGAGGAAGGUCCCCCACAUUGGAACUAGAGACACGGUCCAAACGUCCUACGGGAGGCA